rnacentral:lncRNA from 1 species
AUAACACGAGGAGGAAUAGAGCGAACCCUGUACUUACAGUACGCUGUGUCCAGCCCAGAGGUGAAAGCCAUCCAAAGCAGAGUAACUGUGCUUGGUGCCCAAGUUGAUACCUGUGGAGAGAAAAGGAAAGAGAGAGUGAGUAACACAAGGAGAAACAGAGGAAACCUGUACUUACAGUACGCUGUGUUCAGCCCAGAGCCGUUGCCUGUGGAGGAAGAGAAAGAGAGUGAGCACCCCGAGAACGAACUGUGUGAACCAGUACUUACCGUGAGCUGUAUUCAGCGAAGAGGAGGAAGAAGGAGGGCGCUACGGAUACCUAAGACUCAGGCCGGGGCCCGAGUCCCACGCCCCGGAUCCCCGUGGCCCCCUUGCUCCCUGACCUCUUCCCGGCCAUAGCCCAUCUGGAGGGCCGAGUCAGGGUUUAGUUUUAAUUGCCCUUUCCCUAUUCCCCAAGCUAUUUUUAAAUAUUUAAAUAAAGAUUGUUUUAUCACUUACUUGUUCUCGUGUUGUUUGGCCAUUGGGUUGGCUUUGGGGACCUCCUCGAGGUGGAAGUUGAGAAGGGGUGUGGCUUAGUCAAAGCAUAGCCAGCCCCUGGGUGUGACAUAGAGACAGGAAUAAUGAGUAAUGAUACAUGGUGAUAUUAUUAAUACACAUGCUUAUUCUUUCUCUGUCUCUCUUUCUGCCCUACAGAUGGCUGAAAAAGGUGAACGCUGUAGCAGCAAAGUGUGGGACUACUUCUGCAAAGAUUCCUCUAAUGCAGUGUUCUUUUGAUCAUUAAAAAAUAUAUACUUUUGAUGUGCAAUUGUUUAGUCAUUGAGACUGUAAUCUAAGGCUUUUUUUAACAUAAUCCCUUCUGGAAAAUGGUUUAUACAGCCCACAUACAUAGAACAGGCAGAUAUUUUACUAUUGAAUGUUGUGUAAGUGUAGUUUAUAGGAAAUGGGUCUAAUAUCCAGUUUAUUUUCAAAAUCGGCUUAUAAAUCGGCUUUUUUUGUAGUUAAUAUCGGCAUCGGCAUUGGCCCCAAAAAUCCAUAUCGGUCGGGGCUCUAGUUUCAUCCGUGCCACAAGGAUGCCUUGUGUCUUUAUGUUUGGGUUAAGUUGUUAGGCCUAAUUGUAAUCUUAUAAUGUAAAAGUGCUCCCUAUAGUUUUAAGCAUAAGCUGAGGUAGAUUUGCAUCACUAAGAAAAUUGAAACUAUAACUGAAUGUAUUUCAAGAAAGAGCAACUUGUUCAGUAAACCAUUAAAAAAAAAAAAUUAAUUAGUUUUUCCCCCUGCUGUACCGAAAUCAUACCAAACCGUCACAUUUGUGUACCGUUACAUCCCUACUGUCUACAUUAAUAAUAAAAUAAAAUUC